GGAGGAAUACCGUUAAAAUUGCGAUUAAAAAUGAAUUAGUCUUUUUUCUUAUUUGUAUUUUAUAAUAGGUUUAUUUUUUUUUUCCUUGUACAAAGUUUUAUUUUGGCUUGGAAUUUUAGUUUAUCAAUUUUUUACAUGUUAGAUCUAUUUUGCUUAUAUAGUUUUUUUUGCAGUAUUUGGUUUUGUUAAUUUGGUCAUUUGAGAACCAGGAAUUGAUUUGAGUUUUAAUAAAGCUUGUGCCAGCAAUUGCGGUUAUACAAGCAAUGCAACUUAAAUUUUUUGGUAAAUAAUUAAUUAAUUGUAUUUUGUUUUAGGUUUAAAUUUUUGGGGUGAAAUUUUAAAUUUAGUUUUAAGGCUUAUAUAUUGGUUAUGAAGUUGUUAAAGUCUGGUUUUAAACUAGGAUUAGAUACCCUAUUAUUCAGACUAUAAAUUCUUGUACCUGAUUAUUAGUAGAAUAUUUUCUUGAAAAUUAAAAAAUUUGGCGGUAUUUCAGUCCAUUUAGAGGAAUCUGUCCCGUAAUUGAUAGUCCACGAUUUAAUUGAUUUCUUCUUUUAGUUUGUAUAUCGUCGUGUUCGAAUAUUUCAGUAGAAUAAUAAUGUUCAAUUUGUUCAAUAAGAGGAGAUGUCAGAUCAAGGUGCAGCUUAUGAAGAAGUGGAGAUGGAUUACAUUAUUUUUAUAUUUGGUUUACUUUUUUUUUUAACAUUGGUAAUAAAUCGGAUUUGAUAGUAAUAAUGUUUAAAUUUUCUUUGUGAUUGAGGCUCUGAAGUAUGCACACAUCGC
rnacentral:rRNA from 1 species